rnacentral:lncRNA from 1 species
GAGGACACAACCCGGGCUGCUUUCCAUUGCUGCAAAAAAUUCAGAGCCAUGAAGAACACACCACUCGCAGUCUGACCCUGGCCCUUCCAUACAACAUUGUUCCUAUUUUGCCACAAAGCCCAUAAGAUCAUUAGCAUAAGAGAGGCAUUUUCCACAGAAGCAGAAGAGAAGGCUAAAGAAAACCACUCAUUUAAAGAAGAUGCAGAAGGCGCAGGCCAACCCAACGGCGAGCUUAACCAG